GAUCAUGGCUCAGGAUGAACGCUGGCGGCGUGCCUAACACAUGCAAGUCGAACGGACUUUUCAUGAAGCCUAGCGAUUGAAAAGUUAAGUGGCGGACGGGUGAGUAACGCGUGGGUAACCUGCCUUGUACUGGGGGACGAACAGUUGGAAACGACUGCUAAUACCGCAUAAGCGCACAGCUUCGCAUGAAGCAGUGUGAAAAACUCCGGUGGUACAAGAUGGACCCGCGUCUGAUUAG
rnacentral:rRNA from 1 species